ensembl:lncRNA
CUGUCUCCUCACCAACCACACAGACCUCCUCCUCCUCUGCUCCUGCUGAAAGCAUGGGUGGGUAUACACUCUUGUAUACACAGAAAGAGACACACUUCAUCAUUGCAGAAGAUGCUCAUUUAAUGACAAUUAUCUAAUUGCCUGUCUACAUUAAAGUGAUGGAUGAAGAUGAGGAGCUGGAGAGGCUGAUGCUGAGCAUUUCUCCUGCAAAGCAACAGGUGCAGAGUUGUGAGUAAACAUUUGCUGUAAACUGUUUAUUCUGUUCAGUAAAUAUAAUAUAUUGUUUGUGUUAAACAGCUGUUUCUGCAUCAUCAUCAUCAUCAACUGCCAUGGGAUGACAACAGGUUCCAGAAACAAAACAAGUUUUUUUAGCUGAAACGUCCUGCAGCCAGCGGACACCACUGGGACCGUGAGUUCUUGUCCCACAUGAAGCAUGAACUAUUCUGUCUCACGUUGACCAUGUUCCGGUCCCUGGUUCUUUAUGUUUGGUUGCUUCGAUGUUGUCCCAGUGACUAUGAAUUGAUACCAGCCACGAUGAGGGUACGUACCAGUCUUCUUCUAUGCAUGAAAAGAACAAGUGUGUGUGUGUGUGUGUGUGUGUGUGUGUGUGUGUGUGUGUAUAUAUAUAUGUAUAUAAUGUGAAUCUGCUGUGUUACUAACACCCAGGUGCAUGUGUUUGAAGUGUGCCAUGUUGCUUCUUCUGCCUAGCUUAAAUUUUUCCAACUAACUGGCUGCUGAACAUUAACAAAUUCAACGACCAACACAUGUAUUAUAUAAUAAUGUGAGAAACUGUAUCAAGGAAUGAGGCAAUUAGGAGGUUUGUGUCUUGCUCAGGGACAGUUCAACUUGGGACACGGGGCAGCCGGGACUUGAAUCACCAACCCUGCAGUUCCCAGCGCACCCUCUCAGAGAGGAUGUUGUAUGUGUACAGACUGUAAAGCCAUCUGAGGCAAAUUUGUAAUUUGCAAUUUUGGGCUAUACAAAAUAAAAUUAAUUGAAUUGAAUUGAACUUUGAGACCCACUUUGAUGUAGUGGAACCUGUCAAGGCAAGUCAAGGCAAGGCAAUUUUAUUUGUAUAGCACAUUUCAAUUCAAAUUCAAAGGCAAUUCAAAGUGCUUCACCAGUAGAAUAAAUACUCAACCAAAAUAAUAGUAAGUCAUUCCUAUAUAUUUCAUAUAUAUUUAAAGUCUUUGCUUUGAAUUCAGCAUUCUGCAAAUGUGCUUCUUCCCCUUUCUGAGACAUCAAUUUCAGAUUGCAAAUCAUUUGCAUGCAUGUGGCUUUACCAGAUCUCCAAUUCUCUAAAACAAGUCUUCAACUAAGGAUACUGCAAGCUUGGCCAAAAGUGUGGCAUAUAACGGACUAAACUACAAGUGUGUGAUGAUUUUGAUCCAUGGCUUGCUGGGUGCACAGCCAGAGUUUGAUGAAAUCAUCUAAAUGGUGAUACUGCAAGACAACUUCAUCUUCGUUCUCUGUAAGAUUAUAAAUUAAUAAUUUGAAUACUAAAUAAUCUUUUUCAAUGUGUAGCAAGUGAGAAAAUGUCCUUCCUGAGCUACUGUAGAUUCAGGCAGGCCUUGGUACAGCCCACUUCCUGGUUCACCUAUUAGAAAGGGUAUAAAAGCUGCACAUAAUGAAGCUAGUGUCACCACGCUUGUCCCUUUCUGUGUUGGAGGCUGGCAGGAGAAUCCACUGAGCUGGUGGGUGUUUUUAGUCUCAAUUCUUAGGAAACUGAUUUGGCCAUUGGUUAACUUUCUGUUUGUAUUUCCCAGCUUGUCAUGGAGGCCCAAACCAUGUGUGAGCCGGACCAGGUGGAGGAGCCUUAAAGUAACUCCAGGCUGGCAUUCGAAGCCACUGCUAUUUUGUAUUGCUUAUUCAGUUCCUCUCUGGAGUUUCUUCAUGUUGGUAAUGUUAGUUUGCUGAUGACUUUUGGUAAGUAAUUUGUUUAUUUUUGUGUUUGAGGUUGUCUGCAGAGUAACAUCCCAGAUGGUGGGUCUGGUGGCUGGGCCUUUCACCUGCUCAUCCCAUUUUCCGUUGUGUUUGUCUGUAUUUUCUUUUUACAUAGCAUGCCUGUUUUAUAUUGUUUGUGUGGAGAAACUGAGUCGGUGAGUGCCCUCUGCCAGAGCCUGUCCCUGUUCCUGCCCCGGUGCAGCCUAGUCACCCUUAGCACUUAAUUUGUUUGUAGAGGUGCAUUUGGUUAUUCCUACAGCUGAUGGAAAUUGGUUUAAUUGUUUUGUAUGCUUUCUAUAUUUGAACUAAAUUUUGAAAUCUGGGAAUACUUUUUCCUCAGUCUGACUUCAGUCACCUGUUGAUCCGUGGUUGUUGGAUAAUUUAUGAGGAAAUAUAUUAACCCUGUGCUACCGGUGGUUACAAAUGUCUUUCUUCCAUUUGCUCAACUUCCCAUGACUUUAUCUACACACUAUGAAUCAGCUAAAACUAAUGCAUUCUAAUACAACAGCCCUAUAACAAUUUCUCCCUCAUUCUCUUGUAUCUGUGUCGACAGCCCAAAUGGAAAUCGGCCAAUGGUACCCCUAGAGGGGAUUUACUUGCACGUUGAAAUUUACUAAUUGAUUGUGAUCUCUUCUCAGACUGCUGUGGCUGGUUCUACACCUGCAGAAUCAAGCUGGCCAAUGGAAAAACUAAAACUUCCAAAUUGCUUGCCAGAGUCACCAGAUAUAUCUACUGCAAGAUGAAGAGAACCUUUUAGGUUAAAGGGCAACCUCACUUCAAUAUAUGGACCAAGAUUUUGGCAAUUCCUUUUUAAUCUCAACUUUACCACUGAAUUUCAGGGACAAGUAGGAGGGUUAGUUGAUGUGUAAAAUGUUUGACCUACCUCUGUAUUGCCCGUGGGAUAUUUCGUAACCCUGUUUUAUAAAUUGUUGCAGAUAAUUUCAUUUUUUUUAAAAUAUUGUAUUGUCAUUUACUCAUUUCAGUUGGUUCAAUAUGCGUUGGGCAAGAAACCUGGUGGAGACUGUGGUGCCAUGAGUGCAAACAAAAGGUAUGACUGACUUGGGUUGUUAACAAGUACCCUACUAACGAGCCACUACUCAUAUUUAACUGCACGCAUUUUUCACAAUGUUUUAACUGUUUGACUUGCUUGGUGAUUUAUGGUGAUUGUGACGUUUGUUCCAUAGUGCAAGUGAAUCUUAUGUGUGUACCCUGUAAAAAUGCACUUUAAAUACACAUUUCUGUGACGGUAAUUAAAACUGUAAUUUUACAUUUUUAUUUAAAGAGUCAACCUCAUAAAUGGUAAAUGGACUGUACUUGUGUGUGUGUGUAUAUAGCGCUUUUCUAGUCUUCCGACCACUCAAAGCGCUUUAACACUACAUGACCUCAUUCAUACACUGAUGACAGGAAAACCAUACAGUGACACCUGCCCAUCAGUAACAUUCAUACGCUGUAAUCACAGCUACAGGAGCAAUGUUGGGUUAAGUGUCUUGCCCAAGGACACAUCGACAUGCGGGUUAGCCAGGACUGGGAUCAAACCCACAACCCCUCUGAUUGGAGGAGUACCUGCUCCCCACUCACCCACAGCCGCCCAUAGUGCUGUACACUUCAGUGUAACCCCAACACUGUAGGUUAAGACCUUAUGUUUACUGGCUUAGUGUUGCAACGUACUCCAAUUUCAGUCAAAUUUACUGUGUACCUGGAAUGUAAUCUUGGCAGUGAAUUGAUAGAAUGUCAAUGUAUUCUAGAGGAGAGGGAGAAGAUGGGUGAGGCCUGGGCUCUUCGUCAAGGUAUUUUUUUUUAAUGUAAUUCUUGUCGUACAAGCUGUAAUGGCCCUAAUAAAAGGUCUUUCUAACUGUAAAGAAUGCCUGAGUGUUGUGGCCUGUCAUGAAGAACUAUUUGGAUCCUUUAGCUGCGGUUUAACUAUUUGCUGUUGGCCAAUGUGUUAGGCUAAUGUUAUUUAGCAAUACUAUGGGCAAGAAGAUGCCAUCUUGUCUGUUUCAAAGAUUUUUCAGAAUGGGUUGUGAUUCCACACAGGACGGUCCAGAGAAUACAACAGGCUCCUGCCUUGAGGAUCCCCAGAAGUGGUCGAGGAGUUUCAACCUCCUGUGACGGUGGAAAUUACCCGCAGUCUUUAGUGAUUUGAAGUGAACGGUAAGAGUUAGUUAGUAACAGUAGUUUUUGAUAUGUAAUGCUUGUCAUGCAGGCUGUGUGACGGGUCUAAUAAAACAUUCGUUUUCAAACUGUCAAGAGCCUGACUGUUGCAUAAUGUGUUAACUGUAUCUUCUAAAAUGUGGUUGGAUGUCCUGAACUAUGCCACCCUCCUUUAGCUGCUUAAUUUAAAUUUGGCAGCUUUUUGCUCAUACAGGGAAACUGCAAUCAAUGUUCGGAAAACAUUCCGGUUGGGUAAAGUAGUUCUGUGAUUCCACGCAGGACGGUCCAGAGAAGACCACAGGGUCCUGCCUCGGACUCCCAAGCAACUUCAGCCUCCUGUGAAAAUUGAGAGGUGAGACCCUUUCUCAGUACUGCUUUUCAUGUAAUGCUGUGAAAGUCUAAUACAAUGUUCUGUUAGAAUGCCUGACUGUUGGUUAACUGUAUAUGCUCCUAAUAUGUACUGAACUGAUCCAGUCUUUAUCUGCGCUUUCCCAGUGUGUAAAAAGAUGCAUUCUUGUCAGUGUUUAAAUAUUUCUUGUUUGCUAAAGUACUGUUGUGCUACCACACAGGACUAUUCAGAGAACACAACAGGCUCCUGCUUCAGGGGAAGGCAGCUUUAGCCUCCUGUGGAAAAUGCCGUAUGCUCCUGCCAAAUUAGCGAUUUGACUGACGGUAAGACUUUUUUUCCCCAGUAAUGGUAAUGCAGGCUGUGUGACAGGUCUAGAAAAAUGUUUGAAGUGGUGUGAUUGCAUAAUGGGUCAACUUGCGGUGCUUCUUGUCUUUGGUUGUAUGCCCUUAACUAUUUUCCAAUGUUUUAGGAAUGUGUUUUUAUUGAUACAUGUAAACCUAUCAGUGCAAAAACAUUGUCAGUGUUUCAAGACGAGUUGGGUAAUGUAGUCUUAUUUCUUGCAGGAAGAUAGAAUCCAACUCUCUACAGGCUUUGCCAGAAGGUAAGAAUUUUUUUUUUUUAUUGGGGUGGGGGGCUAAGUGUGGGCUAGGGUUAGCGGGGGCUAAGUGUGGGCUAGGGUUAGCGGGGGCUAAGUGUGGGCUAGGGUUAGCGGGGCUAAGUGUGGGCUAGGGUUAGCGGGGGCUAAUGUGGGCUAGGGUUAGCGGGGCUAAGUGUGGGCUAGGGUUAGCGGGGGCUAAUGUGGGCUAGGGUUAGCGGGGCUAAGUGUGGGCUAGGGUUAGCGG